rnacentral:rRNA from 1 species
UAACGAAUCUUCCGCAAUGCACGCAAGUGUGACGGAGCGACGCCGCGUGUGGGACGAAGUCCUUCGGGAUGUAAACCACUGUCAGGGGUUACCAAGUUCUGAGGAGCCCCAGAGGAAGGCACGGCUAACUCUGUGCCAGCAGCCGCGGUAAGACAGAGGUGCCGAGCGUUAGGCGGAAUCACUGGGCUUAAAGCGUGUGUAGGCGGGCCGUUAAGUAUCUUGUGAAAUCCCCCGGCUCAACCGGGGAAUGGCUGGAUAUACUGGCGGUCUUGAGCGAUCUAGGGGCAGAUGGAACAGACGGUGGAGCGGUGAAAUGCGUAGAUAUCGUCUGGAACGCCAAAGGUGAAGACAGUCUGCUGGGGAUCUGCUGACGCUGAGACACGAAAGCCAGGGGAGCGAACGGGAUUAGAUACCCCCGUAGUCC